rnacentral:rRNA from 1 species
UACGUAGGGUGCAAGCGUUGUCCGGAAUUAUUGGGCGUAAAGAGCUCGUAGGCGGCCUGUCGCGUCGGCUGUGAAAACCCGGGGCUCAACCCCGGGCCUGCAGUCGAUACGGGCAGACUAGAGUGCGGUAGGGGAGACUGGAAUUCCUGGUGUAGCGGUGAAAUGCGCAGAUAUCAGGAGGAACACCGGUGGCGAAGGCGGGUCUCUGGGCCGUAACUGACGCUGAGGAGCGAAAGCAUGGGGGAGCGAACAGG